GGCACUGCUGUUUCUCUACAUGGACGAGCUCUAAUAGAUCUUACUCCUUCCACUUUAUGACUCACUUCGGCAGCUCUGGACAAACGCUCGCAAACAUUUCGAUAAAAAACAAACAUUGACUGAGCCCUGGCAAUUAGCGUGACAAAAACAACAGCAACAAAAACAAAAUAA